CGGGACUGUGGGCUGCACAGCUGGAAGAGAGAAGCUGGCAUGCAGCAUACCCUUCAACACGCAUUGUAGUGAUAAGUGCUUAUUUAUUUUCACGGAUUGUAAACAUGCAGUGAAAAACACCCCGCCGACUUCUCAAUAUGUUAUGAGCACAUUUUACUGCAAGACGAUUUUUUUUUGCUCUUUGGAGCGUUUUUAUUUAUUUAUUUAUUUUUUAACGAUGCCACCACUUUAAUGCCCUUGCUCGUUCCACAGUUGGUGUCAGUGUUGCCUCUGCACAUGCAAGACAUGAGAAGCACCCAUCUCUGAAGUGCAAGACGCUGAGCAAGACACAACUAUGGAGCCCCUGAUGUGUGAGCAGUCGGCCAAGGUGGAUGAGCUGGUGGAGGCAUGCAUCCAAGCCUUCGACGAGAGCGGCACUUUGACGCACCCGUCGACGGUUCGCAUGUUCCUCAUGAUGCACCCGUGGUACAUUCCUUCCACAGACAUGGCUGCCAAGCUGGUGUUCAAAUAUCAAGCGGAGGACUGCUCGGCGGAGCAUCGAACCAGAAUAUGUCACCUUGUCAAGUAUUGGAUCUCUGAGUUUCCUGCAGAGUUCAAUCUGAACCCAGGGCUGGCCGAGCAGAUAAAAGACUUUAAAGACCUCCUGAGCACAGAGGGCAAUGAGUGCCAGAGUCAGCUCAUUGACAUCGAGAGCGUGCCAUCGUAUAAAUGGAAGCGUCAGGUGACUCAGCGCGUCCCCUCAAUGUCCAAAAAGAGGAAAAUGUCCUUGCUCUUUGACCACCUUGACUCCUGUGAACUGGCUGAACACCUGACCUACUUGGAAUACAAAUCCUUCUGCAAAAUUUUGUUUCAGGACUAUCACAGCUUUGUGAUGCACGGUUGCACAGUGGACAACCCCGUGCUGGAGCGCUUCAUCACGCUCUUCAACAGCGUCUCGCAGUGGAUUCAGCUCAUGGUGCUCAGCAAGCCCACUGCGACCCAGAGAGCCUCCGUCAUCUCGCACUUCAUCAGAGUGGCGCAGAAACUGCUGCAGCUGCAGAACUUCAACACGCUAAUGGCAGUUGUAGGUGGCCUCAGCAACAGCUCCAUCUCGCGUCUCAAAGACACACAGGCCCAUAUCAGCGCCGAAACCAACAAGGUUUUUAACAACCUCAUCGAGCUGGUGACGUCAUGCGGAAACUACUGCCAGUACCGCAAGCGCUUCUCGGAGAGCUCCGGCUUCCGCUUCCCCAUCCUGGGUGUGCACCUGAAGGACCUGAUCGCUGUUCACGUGGCACUGCCAGACUGGGUAGACAAGGAGAAGACGCGGGUCAACCUAGCUAAGACCCAGCAGCUGUACGCCAUCCUGCAGGAGCUGGCACUGAUCCAGAACAUGCCGCCCAACAUUGACGCCAAUACAGAUCUGCUGAACCUGUUGACAGUAUCUCUGGACCAGUACCACACAGAGGAGGAGAUCUACCAGAUGUCUUUGCAGAGGGAACCUCGCAAGCAAGCGCAGAACUCUAGCACCACCCCGGCUCCAGACCCCAAGCCAAGCAUGAUGGAUGAGUGGUCCGUGUCGGUGAAGCCCAACGCUGACCCGACAGUCAUCAAGAAGCACAUUGAGAAGAUGGUGGAGUCUGUCUUCAAGAACUUUGACACGGAUGGCGAUGGCCACAUCUCUAGGGAUGAGUUUGAGGACAUCAGGAACAACUUCCCCUACCUCAGCAAGUUUGGAGAACUGGACAAGAACCAAGACGGCAAAAUCAGCCGAGAGGAGAUGAUCGACUACUUCACGAGGGCCAGCUCGCUGCUCAACUGCAAGAUGGGCUUCAUUCACACUUUCAGCGAGGCCACCUACGUGAAGCCCACCUUCUGCGAGCACUGCGCUGGCUUUAUAUGGGGUUUCUACAAGCAGGGCUACAAGUGUAAAGCUUGCGGGGUCAACUGCCACAAGGCCUGCCGGAGCCGACUGGCCGUGGAGUGCCGGAAAAGGACCAAGAGCAUCAGCCACGAGACGCCACCGGCUCUUCAGGCCAGAUCUUAUAGCUUCCCGCCGCCUGCCAACCCUCCACCCAAUCUCCAGAACACUGUAAUCGCUGAAGAGGAUAUAGAGGCGGUGAAAGAAGGAGUGUUCGACAUUCACCUAUAACCAGGGGGUGCUGGAGCCUAUCCCAGCUGCACAUGGGCGGAAGGUGGCGUACACCCUGGACGAGUCACCACCUGUAAACAAAAAGUGCAUUGAUGUAUGACGUAUGUUGUCCUAAGUCCUGUAACUGCUGGUGGGCAGUGUGCAGGCAGUCAUCUUGUGAGUGAUGUCACAGGACAGGAGACGCUUUCUGUGGACACACACUAAUACUGCAACAUUUGCACCUGCCAGCAGCUCCACUGGACUCACAUGGACAUGCCAGUUAGUGUUAUGGGAUGUGUUCAUGUGCAAAAUAUCUACACGAGUUUGGACCAGUGGCCUCUCCCUGUGUUCGACUUCUCUGCGGGAAUGUUAAUUGUCAUUUCAUUGGACAGCAGCAUUUAUUUUGACCUUCAUGAUUUAGAUGUGUGUUACAGUAACUUUGUUGUUGUUGUUGUUGUUGUUGUUGCACGCCAAAUUAUUACUUACAGCACGAGGAGACAAGCAAGUGUUUGUUUGCCCUGUUGAAAGACACAUUUUGAGCGGCUGGUAUGUCAUUGAAUGAGACGCAGCUGUUGUGUGAACAGCUCGAAGAAUGUUUGUAAUUAAUAUUUCUGUGCUAGCACCAAUCCGUUUUAAGUUGGGUCUCAUAUGAAAAAGACAGCAUUCAUGUAAAAGUUUUUUUUUGGAAUGUUUUCUUUCCAUGUGUGUGCAACAUUUUUUGUCCACUGCCAGUUAGUGCAGACGAAUAAAGCCUAAAUAAAA